rnacentral:lncRNA from 1 species
UAAAAUUUAAAUUUUUAUUAUUUCUUUAUUUUAUGAUAAUUGAGUAUGUUAUAUUAGGAUUUAUAUAAGUAGAAUUUAGUUUUAUAAAAAAAUUAGGAUCAUAACUUUUGAUGGUAUAAAUUAUAGUCUAAUUCCUUGAAUUAAAUUAACUAAGACAAAAAUGAUAAGAAUUAAAAAAUUAGAAUAGCAAUUUAGUUAAUUUUAAUAAUUUAGAAGUUGUUAGUUAUUACUAUGAAGGUUGAUUAAGACUCUAUGAGUUCACCUACAAUCAUCUUAUCUAAUUUAGAAUGAAUUAGAAUUAUAACUUUUUAAAAGAUCUAGUGAAGUUUAGCAAUGAUGGUUUUGAAGUUUUUAUUCAAAUUCAAUAUAUUCAAGUAGCAAAGUACUUUUAAUUAAUGGAAGCCUUUCGAAUACAAUGGUGGUAUUGGAUUCACCUUGUGGAGUGAAAAAAACAAGAUUAGCACCCUCUCCUUUAAAAUAAAAGUAGAGCAAUGAAAUUCUCAUUUUUGAAGAAUUUUACAAGAAUUGCCAAAAAUUUUGUAGAUAAAAUCUUCAUAAAAAUUACAAAUGAGCAUAGAUUGAGGCAUGUGAUUAAUAAAUUUUAGAAAAAAAAGAUGUUUUGAAGACAAUGGUGAAGUUAGAUUUAUUAAAAAAUAUUUUUUUGACCACUUAUAUUAGCCAUCAACCUUAGUAACAAAAUUAAUUCUUGAAUGAAUGAAGAUCGUAGAUCUAGAUUAGAGAUCUUAAAAAUCAAGGAUAGAAAUGUGGCCACCUUCCAUGAGUCUCUACACACUUAAGUAAGAUGGUUUGGUUGUCCUAGCUCUCUCUCUUUCUCCUCUUUUGAUGAAGGCCAAAGUCUUUCUCCUCUUUUGGUCUUAAACCCUAAUCUUA